CUAAAUUUGUUCUUCUUAGGUUCAUACGACCUAUCCUUUGAAUUGUUUUUUCUAGGCUUUAUAGAUUUUUAAGAGGACUUAGACUUAGAAUUCUUCUUAGCAUGCUUAGAAGGAGGAUAGUCUAUAUUUCCAUAACCAAAGUCUCUACAGAAAUUGCCUAAUUCUGCUUUGGAGGUCAAUCUAUCUUUCUAAAGGUGACUCUUAAGUUUUAGGUCCGUACAUAGUUCUAGAGCUGCGGUAUUAAUAAGACUAAUAAUGUCUCCAUAAGUCAUAAGAUCAUAGGGUACCUUACCGCCACA
rnacentral:lncRNA from 1 species